GUGAGGAAUUUUCCGCAAUGGGCGAAAGCCUGACGGAGCAAUGCCGCGUGAAGGAUGAAGGCCUAUGGGUUGUAAACUUCUUUUCUCAGAAAAGAAUUAUGACGGUAUCUGAGGAAUAAGCAUCGGCUAACUCUGUGCCAGCAGCCGCGGUAAGAAAGAGGAUGCAUGCGUUAUCCGUAAUGAUUGGGCGUAAAGCGUCUGUAGGUUGUUUAAAAAGUAUUCUAUCAAAGAUUAGGGCUUAACCCUAGAUAGGCAGAAUAAACUGUUAAGCUAGAGUUUGGUAGAGGCAGAGGGAAUUCCCGGUGGAGCGGUGAUAUGCGUAGAUAUCGGGAGGAACACCAAAGGCGAAGGCACUCUGCUGGGCCAAUACUAACACUGAGAGACGAAAGCGAGGGGAGCAAAUGGGAUUAGAUACCCAUAGUAGUCC
rnacentral:rRNA from 1 species